rnacentral:rRNA from 1 species
AUUGAACGCUGGCGGCAUGCCUUACACAUGCAAGUCGAACGGCAGCACGGGGCAACCUGGUGGCGAGUGGCGAACGGGUGAGUAAUGCAUCGGAACGUACCUUUCAGUGGGGGAUAACGUAGCGAAAGUUACGCUAAUACCGCAUAUUCUGUGAGCAGGAAAGCAGGGGAUCGCAAGACCUUGCGCUGAUUGAGCGGCCGAUGUCAGAUUAGCUAGUUGGGGAGGUAAAGGCUCACCAAGGCGACGAUCUGGAGCGGGUCUGAGAGGAUGAUCCGCCACACUGGAACUGAGACACGGGCCAGACUCCUACGGGAGGCAGCAGUGGGGAAUUUUGGACAAUGGGGGCAACCCUGAUCCAGCCAUGCCGCGUGAGUGAAGAAGGCCUUCGGGUUGUAAAGCUCUUUCGGCCGGGAAGAAAUCGCACGGGCUAAUACCCUGUGUGGAUGACGGUACCGGAAUAAGAAGCACCGGCUAACUACGUGCCAGCCGCCGCUGUAAAAC